rnacentral:rRNA from 1 species
CCUACGGGUGGCAGCAGUGAGGAAUAUUGGUCAAUGGGCGUAAGCCUGAACCAGCCAAGUCGCGUGAGGGAUGAAGGUCUUAUGGUCCGUAAACCUCUUCUAUAAGGGAAUAAAGUGCGGGACGUGUUCCGCUUUGAAUGUACCUUAUGAAUAAGGAUAGGCCAACUCCGGGCCAGCAGCCGCGGUAAUACGGAGGAUCCGAGCGUUAUCCGGAUUGAUGGGGGUUAAAGGGAGCGUAGGUGGUUUAGUAAGUUGGCGGUGUAAUUCCGGGGCUCAACCUGGGCACUGCCGCCGACACUAGUAAACUGGAGUGCGUGAGGGGUAAGUGGAAUUCCUGGUGUAGGGGUGGAAUGCGUAGAUAUUAGGAGGAACAUCAGGGGCGAAGGCGACUAACUGGACUGUAACUGACGCUGAGGCGCGAAAGCGUGGGGAGCAAACAGGAUUAGAUACCCGAGUAGUC